GGAAAAGUAUCUCCUCCAUUUCUGGAUCCUGAGCAUUGUGGAGCACACUCUUGGAAAAUGGAAGUCCCAGGAGGGUCCAGCAGAGAAUGGCCAUGCCAGCAUGUCCUGACUGGGAAGUUGGAGCACAAUCCUGGAGAGGUGAGAGGGCUUUGGAGGCCCAUCCAGAUCUCCUGCUCUCUGGAGAAGAAAUCUGAGGCUCAGAGAGGGCAAGUGGCUAAUUUAGAACUUGAAC